AUUAGAACGUUGAUGAGAAGAGUAGGCCUUUGCAGGACUUAAGAGACCCCUAGAUUGGUGAGAAUGGGGAGCUUGUACAGGUUGAAAGUAAUCUCUGAGAGUUGAAUGCGAGUUUCGAGUGUUCAAUGGGUGCACCCAUUAUAGUGCCAAGGUAUCGUCACAAUUGUGACCGUACCUGGUGAGGCAUGUUCUGUGAAGAAUGUGCAAUUAUGAGGUGGUAACACGCGAUGCGUCCUUAUU
rnacentral:ncRNA from 1 species